rnacentral:lncRNA from 1 species
AUAGAAUAAGAAACCCAAAUUAGAUUAUUAUUUUUAUUCGAACGACCUAAUUGAAAUUAUUUUCUUCCUUAUUUCGUUUUAUCAUCAUGAAACUAGAAAAUGAAUAUAUUUAAAUUAUUAGGUAGAAACACAAAUACAAAACGACAACUUAUGAAAUAUUUGUGUCCAAUCUUAAGUAAGAAACUAAAUACAAAAUAAAUCCAGAACUUAAUCUACAAGGCGAGACUAACAUAUCUACAUAUUUUAUUCUUACAAAUCACCAUAUAUGAUUUUGCACCCAAAAGAUUUGAGCAAUCAGAAUGUGUCACACAACUCAUAUGUUUCAGUGCUGCAAAAAAGAAAAGAAUAUAACUUUAAUAAUAUAAGAUAAAAUAUUUUAUGCAAAUAAAAGAAGUUUACAAGGGAUUAAAAAUGGAUUACCUUCGAUGUUCUUUGCAACGAGAAAUAUCAAAAUAAAUAUAAUCAUAACAUAAGCAAACAUGGAAAUUAAAACCAUUUAUUCUCUUGUGCGUGUAACAAUUUGAGUAGUUUUUAGUAUUUUUGUAGUUGUAAAAAAUCAUUCCUUCAAUAAUAGUUAUUAAAUAUACCUUAAACACAAAUUGUAUAGUAUUUGUCCCUUUAGCACACUAAAUAACAUGUCACAUAAAAAAACUAACUAAAUUACAACCCGUG